rnacentral:rRNA from 1 species
AGAGUUUGAUCCUGGCUCAGAUUGAACGCUGGCGGAAUGCUUUACACAUGCAAGUCGAACGGCAGCACGGGAGCUUGCUCCUGGUGGCGAGUGGCGAACGGGUGAGUAAUGCGUCGGGACGUACCGAGUAAUGGGGGAUAACGCAGCGAAAGUUGUGCUAAUACCGCAUACGCCCUGAGGGGGAAAGUGGGGGAUCGUAAGACCUCACGUUAUUCGAGCGGCCGACGUCUGAUUAGCUAGUUGGUGGGGUAAUGGCUCACCAAGGCGACGAUCAGUAGCGGGUCUGAGAGGAUGAUCCGCCACACUGGGACUGAGACACGGCCCAGACUCCUACGGGAGGCAGCAGUGGGGAAUUUUGGACAAUGGGGGCAACCCUGAUCCAGCCAUUCCGCGUGAGUGAAGAAGGCCUUCGGGUUGUAAAGCUCUUUCAGCUGGAACGAAACGGUACGCUCUAACAUAGCGUGCUAAUGACGGUACCAGCAGAAGAAGCACCGGCUAACUACGUGCCAGCAGCCGCGGUAAUACGUAGGGUGCGAGCGUUAAUCGGAAUUACUGGGCGUAAAGCGUGCGCAGGCGGAUUGUUAAGCAAGAUGUGAAAUCCCCGGGCUUAACCCUGGGAAUGGCAUUUUGAACUGGCAGUCUAGAGUGCGUCAGAGGGGGGUGGAAUUCCACGUGUAGCAGUGAAAUGCGUAGAGAUGUGGAGGAACACCGAUGGCGAAGGCAGCCCCCCUGGGAUAACACUGACGCUCAUGUACGAAAGCGUGGGUAGCAAACAGGAUUAGAUACCCUGGUAGUCCACG